CCUACGUGAGUCAGCAGUGGGGAAUAUUGCACAAUGGGGGAAACCCUGAUGCAGCGACGCCGCGUGAGUGAAGAAGUAUUUCGGUAUGUAAAGCUCUAACAGCAGGGAAGAAGCAAGACGGUACCUGACUAAGAAGCCCCGGCUAACAACGUGCCAGCAGCCGCGGUAAUACGUAGGGGGCAAGCGUUAACCGGCUUUACUGGUGGGAAAGGGGGCGUAGACGGUAUUGAAAGUCUGAAGUGAAAGCCCAGGGCUUAACCCUGGGACUGCUUUUGCAACUGUGAGACUAGAGUGCUGGAGAGGUAAGUGGAAUUCCUAGUGUAGCGGUGAAAUGCGUAGAUAUUAGGAGGAACACCAGUGGCGAAGGCGGCUUACUGGACAGUAACUGACGUUGAGGCUCGAAAGCGUGGGGAGCAAACAGGAUUAGAUACCCUUGUAGUC
rnacentral:rRNA from 1 species